CAGAACCAGUCUAAACAUGAAAAUCCUUUUCCUGCUUUUUGCUGUCCUUGUCUUUGUAGUCCUGCCUGGAUCAGGGAAGAAGAAGAACUGUUUUCAAGGACUUGGAACCUGCAAAAUACGUUGUCCUGAAGGCACUAGAAGCUAUGGGAAACAAAAUUGUUAUUUUUUUCAGCAGUGCUGUGUACGAACAUUUGGAAAAUAAUGGCUUACUGCUGCCCUCAUGAAGACGUUCAGGAUCCAGCCAUGAUGUGAUGUUACUGCCUGCAACUGCUUUAUCUUCCUUUAUGCAAAUCCAAAUCAUUCAUUAGAUUCCAAAGCAUUUUUCCUCAGAAGUAAAAUUUGCAAGAUUUGCUUAGAAAAGAAGCUUUUCCCUUUGCUGCUUUUAAUAAAGUUAAAGAU